UACGUAGGUGACAAGCGUUGUCCGGAUUUACUGGGCGUAAAGAGCGCGCAGGCGGUCGUUCAAGUCGAGUGUGAAAGCCCCCGGCUCAACUGGGGAGGGUCACUCGAUACUGAUCGACUCGAAGGCAGGAGAGGGAAGUGGAAUUCCCGGUGUAGUGGUGAAAAUGCGUAGAUAUCUGGAGGAACACCGGUGGCGAAGGCGGCAAUCCUGGACCGGUAGUUGACGCUGAGGCGCGAAAGCCAGGGGAGCAAAGCGGG
rnacentral:rRNA from 1 species